rnacentral:lncRNA from 1 species
UGGAGCGGAAGCUCAGAGAAAACAUCGUUUAUUACCAAUUUAUUUCCUUUUCAGAAGUGUCUCUGUGAUGCCAAACAUCUGGACGGAAAGCAAGAAGGCUUCGAGAAUCCUUUGCAAAGAUUGUUUUUCUCACCCAUCCAUUCAUUCAUUCAAAAAAACAUUUAUCAGUCAGAGACUCUGGGAAGGGGUUAGAAAUUUUGAGAUGUUGAACAUCAAUUGUCCAACUCAAAUUCAGCCAAAACAACAACCAAAAGCCAAUAAUGAAGAAAAAUGUUGUUUAGCAAAAUAUGUUCAUAAAANUUUUUUUUUUUUUUUUUUUUUUUUUUUUUUUUUUUUUUUUUGAGUGGUACAGCUGUUGCAGCUGAAUCCUGUAUGUUGAAAUUUGGAUGGUUUUCAUUUUGGAAGAUAGUGAUA